rnacentral:rRNA from 1 species
UACGUAGGGUGCAAGCGUUUAAUCGGAAUUACUGGGCGUAAAGCGUGCGCAGGCGGUUUUGUAAGACAGAGGUGAAAUCCCCGGGCUCAACCUGGGAACUGCCUUUGUGACUGCAAGGCUUGAGUGCGGCAGAGGGGGAUGGAAUUCCGCGUGUAGCAGUGAAAUGCGUAGAUAUGCGGAGGAACACCGAUGGCGAAGGCAAUCCCCUGGGCCUGCACUGACGCUCAUGCACGAAAGCGUGGGGAGCAAACAGG